rnacentral:rRNA from 1 species
UAAGUUAUUAAGGGCGCACGGUGGAUGCCUUGGCACUAGAAGCCGAUGAAGGACGUUACUAACGACGAUAUGCUUUGGGGAGCUGUAAGUAAGCUUUGAUCCAGAGAUUUCCGAAUGGGGAAACCCAGCAUGAGUUAUGUCAUGUUAUCGAUAUGUGAAUACAUAGCAUAUCAGAAGGCACACCCGGAGAACUGAAACAUCUUAGUACCCGGAGGAAGAGAAAGAAAAUUCGAUUCCCUUAGUAGCGGCGAGCGAAACGGGAAGAGCCCAAACCAACAAGCUUGCUUGUUGGGGUUGUAGGACACUCUAUACGGAGUUACAAAGGACGACAUUAGACGAAUCAUCUGGAAAGAUGAAUCAAAGAAGGUAAUAAUCCUGUAGUCGAAAAUGUUGUCUCUCUUGAGUGGAUCCUGAGUACGACGGAGCACGUGAAAUUCCGUCGGAAUCUGGGAGGACCAUCUCCUAAGGCUAAAUACUCUCUAGUGACCGAUAGUGAACCAGUACCGUGAGGGAAAGGUGAAAAGCACCCCGGAAGGGGAGUGAAAUAGAACCUGAAACCGUGUGCUUACAAGUAGUCAGAGCCCGUUAAUGGGUGAUGGCGUGCCUUUUGUAGAAUGAACCGGCGAGUUACGAUUUGAUGCAAGGUUAAGCAGUAAAUGUGGAGCCGUAGCGAAAGCGAGUCUGAAUAGGGCGUUUAGUAUUUGGUCGUAGACCCGAAACCAGGUGAUCUACCCUUGGUCAGGUUGAAGUUCAGGUAACACUGAAUGGAGGACCGAACCGACUUACGUUGAAAAGUGAGCGGAUGAACUGAGGGUAGCGGAGAAAUUCCAAUCGAACCUGGAGAUAGCUGGUUCUCUCCGAAAUAGCUUUAGGGCUAGCCUCAAGUGAUGAUUAUUGGAGGUAGAGCACUGUUUGGACGAGGGGCCCCUCUCGGGUUACCGAAUUCAGACAAACUCCGAAUGCCAAUUAAUUUAACUUGGGAGUCAGAACAUGGGUGAUAAGGUCCGUGUUCGAAAGGGAAACAGCCCAGACCACCAGCUAAGGUCCCAAAAUAUAUGUUAAGUGGAAAAGGAUGUGGCGUUGCCCAGACAACUAGGAUGUUGGCUUAGAAGCAGCCAUCAUUUAAAGAGUGCGUAAUAGCUCACUAGUCGAGUGACACUGCGCCGAAAAUGUACCGGGGCUAAACAUAUUACCGAAGCUGUGGAUUGUCCUUUGGACAAUGGUAGGAGAGCGUUCUAAGGGCGUUGAAGCAUGAUCGUAAGGACAUGUGGAGCGCUUAGAAGUGAGAAUGCCGGUGUGAGUAGCGAAAGACGGGUGAGAAUCCCGUCCACCGAUUGACUAAGGUUUCCAGAGGAAGGCUCGUCCGCUCUGGGUUAGUCGGGUCCUAAGCUGAGGCCGACAGGCGUAGGCGAUGGAUAACAGGUUGAUAUUCCUGUACCACCUAUAAUCGUUUUAAUCGAUGGGGGGACGCAGUAGGAUAGGCGAAGCGUGCGAUUGGAUUGCACGUCUAAGCAGUAAGGCUGAGUAUUAGGCAAAUCCGGUACUCGUUAAGGCUGAGCUGUGAUGGGGAGAAGACAUUGUGUCUUCGAGUCGUUGAUUUCACACUGCCGAGAAAAGCCUCUAGAUAGAAAAUAGGUGCCCGUACCGCAAACCGACACAGGUAGUCAAGAUGAGAAUUCUAAGGUGAGCGAGCGAACUCUCGUUAAGGAACUCGGCAAAAUGACCCCGUAACUUCGGGAGAAGGGGUGCUCUUUAGGGUUAACGCCCAGAAGAGCCGCAGUGAAUAGACCCAAGCGACUGUUUAUCAAAAACACAGGUCUCUGCUAAACCGUAAGGUGAUGUAUAGGGGCUGACGCCUGCCCGGUGCUGGAAGGUUAAGAGGAGUGGUUAGCUUCUGCGAAGCUACGAAUCGAAGCCCCAGUAAACGGCGGCCGUAACUAUAACGGUCCUAAGGUAGCGAAAUUCCUUGUCGGGUAAGUUCCGACCCGCACGAAAGGCGUAACGAUUUGGGCACUGUCUCAACGAGAGACUCGGUGAAAUCAUAGUACCUGUGAAGAUGCAGGUUACCCGCGACAGGACGGAAAGACCCCGUGGAGCUUUACUGUAGCCUGAUAUUGAAAUUCGGCACAGCUUGUACAGGAUAGGUAGGAGCCUUUGAAACGUGAGCGCUAGCUUACGUGGAGGCGCUGGUGGGAUACUACCCUAGCUGUGUUGGCUUUCUAACCCGCACCACUUAUCGUGGUGGGAGACAGUGUCAGGCGGGCAGUUUGACUGGGGCGGUCGCCUCCUAAAAGGUAACGGAGGCGCUCAAAGGUUCCCUCAGAAUGGUUGGAAAUCAUUCAUAGAGUGUAAAGGCAUAAGGGAGCUUGACUGCGAGACCUACAAGUCGAGCAGGGUCGAAAGACGGACUUAGUGAUCCGGUGGUUCCGCAUGGAAGGGCCAUCGCUCAACGGAUAAAAGCUACCCCGGGGAUAACAGGCUUAUCUCCCCCAAGAGUUCACAUCGACGGGGAGGUUUGGCACCUCGAUGUCGGCUCAUCGCAUCCUGGGGCUGUAGUCGGUCCCAAGGGUUGGGCUGUUCGCCCAUUAAAGCGGUACGCGAGCUGGGUUCAGAACGUCGUGAGACAGUUCGGUCCCUAUCCGUCGUGGGCGUAGGAAAUUUGAGAGGAGCUGUCCUUAGUACGAGAGGACCGGGAUGGACAUACCUCUGGUGUACCAGUUGUCGUGCCAACGGCAUAGCUGGGUAGCUAUGUGUGGACGGGAUAAGUGCUGAAAGCAUCUAAGCAUGAAGCCCCCCUCAAGAUGAGAUUUCCCAACUUCGGUUAUAAGAUCCCUCAAAGAUGAUGAGGUUAAUAGGUUCGAGGUGGAAGCAUGGUGACAUGUGGAGCUGACGAAUACUAAUCGAUCGAAGACUUAAUCA